UACUACCUCUCCAUUGUAGACAAGGAGCUAACUUUUGAACAACCUCAAUAACUUGGCCUCUCAAAAAGAACACAUCAUAGAUGUGCAUCCUUGCAGAAAUGGGGAGACAUGUCAGCCAAUCAUAAGCCACAUCAUAUAACAAAAUCUUAGCCAAUGUUGCGAAAGCAGGGCCUUUAUAGAAAAUCUGCCACCAUUCAUCUCUCUCGUGUGUAUCCGGGAGUCUCGUACUUGUUAACUGUUCCCUGUACUGCUCGCUAAUGCUACCUGCGAGGGAGUGGGAGUCAAGAGGGAAAAGACGAAGGGCGAGGGAAUGAAGAGCACAGAUGACUUGAUCAACGUGUUUGGCAUCAUUGAUUGAGGCAAUGACCUGACCCACCUUUUCUAGUACCUCUCUCUUUUGCCUUGAUUCUGCUUCCUUCUCCAUAGACCCCAGAGGAGUUUUGUCUUUCAUUUUGCUGGUUUUCAGUAGUAAUCAAUAAUUGGAAGUUUAGUCUCUGAUCGUCGGAAAGGAUUAACG
rnacentral:misc_RNA from 1 species